UUUUUUUUUUUUUUUUUGAGGCAGAGUCUCACUUUGCCGCCCAGGCUAUGGUACAGUGGCACUAUCUCUGUUCACUGCAACCUCUGCCUCCUGGGAUCAAGCUUUCCUCCCACCUGAUCCUCCCACCUCAGCCUCCAUAGUAGUUGGGAGUACAGGCAGGCACUUCUAUGCUUGGCUAAUAUAUAUAUAUAUAUUUUUUGUAGAGACAAGGAGUUUCACCAUGUUGCCCAUGUUGGCCUUGAACUCCUGGCUCAAGCAGUCUGCCCACCGUGGCCUCCCAAAGCGCUAAGAUUACAGGUGUGAACCACUGCUGGGUACUAGAAAAUUUAAGGCUUCAUUUGUGACUCACGUUCUGUUUCUACUGGGCAGAGGUGCUUGAGGCCUUAGAUAGGAGCAAAACAGUUUGUCUAAAAUAAUAAAAAGGAAGGCAGAAUAUAGGGGCAUAAAUGCUGUUUAGUAAGUAGAGAAGGUGGUGGGUGUUUGAAAAUUCCUUCAGUUUUCUCAGUGAAUGAGGAAGCAAGGUUUUCCAUAAGUUGAAUUAAAUUCAUUUAUGUAGAACUUAUUUUGGUGCAGAGCAUAAGGUAAGGAUCUAAAUAUUUUCCCCCAAUAAUUUACCAUUUAUCCCAGCACCAUUUAUUGAGUAAGGUUUCUCCCCUUUUAAUGUGUGAUGCCUCCUUUUUCCUAACACAAAUUCUGUGAUCUGUUUCUGAGCUGUCUGCUCCGUCUACGUGACUAGGCUUGCACUUGCCCCUUGUUGAUUUAAUUAUUGCAGCUGUAUAAUACGCUGUGUGCGUUAGACCAUCCCUACCAUUCCUUCCCUUUCCCUGAUACUUCCCAGAUAUUUGCUCGAUAGGAGCACAGACAAAAUUUUGAAAUAUUUUGCCAAGUUUUAAAAGUUUAAGAUAGAUAUAUUACAUAUAUUAGAUAUAGAUAUAGAUACAUUAUUUUAGAUUCAGAGGGUACACGUGCAGAUUUGUUGCAUAAUGAUAAGGCUUUUGGGGUGCUAUUGAUCCCAGAAGCCAGGUAGUAAGCAUAUUAUCCAAUAGUUUCUCAAGCCUUCCCCCUAGCCCCCUCCCUCUCUAUCCCCUCUAAUAGUCCCUAGUGUCUACUGCUGCCACCUUUAUGCCCAUGAGUACUUAAUGUUUAGCUCCCACUUAUAGAACAUGUAGUAUUUGGUUUUCUGUUUCUGUGUUACUUUGUUUAGGAUAAUGGCCUCUAGCUGCAACAAAAGAAUAUAAUUUUGUUCUUUUUGUGGCUGCAUAGUAUUCGACGGUAUACAUGUACCACAUUUUCUUUAUCCAGUCCAGUUGAUGGGCCCCUAGGUUGAUUCCAUGUCUUUGUUAUUGUGAAUAGUGCUGCGAUUAACAUAUGCAUGCUUGUAUCUUUUUUAUAGAACAAUGUAUUUUCUUUUGGAUGUUGAUGAAAAGAGUGAAACUCCAUAAAAUAGUUGAAGAGAUUCAUUCUGAGCCACAUAUAAGUGACCAAUGGCCCAUGGCACAGCCCUCAGGAGAUCCUGAGAACAUGUGCCCAAAGUGACUGGGUUACAGCUUGGUUUUACACAUUUUAAGGAGACAUAAGACUUUAAUCAAUAUAUGUAAGAUAUAUAUUGGUUCCAUCCAUAAACACAGGACAACUCGAAGCAGGGGCUUCCAAGUCAUAGGUAGAGUCAGAGAUUUUUCUGACUGGCAAUUGGUUGAAAGCAUUAAGUUAUUGUCUAAAGAAUUAGAAUAAAUAAAAGGGGAGGUCUGGGUUAAGAUAAGGGGUUGUGGAGACCAGGGUUUCCAUUAUACAGAAGCAGUGUCCAGGUACCAGGCUUUAGAGAGAAUAGAUUGUAAAUGUUUAUUCUCAGAAUUCAUUCUCUCCUGAAUUAGGAAAAAGGCCUGAAAAGGAACAAGGAUUCUCUACAGAAGGCAGAUUUUUCUCACAAAAAACAGCUUUGCAAGGCUGUUUCAAAAUAUGUCGAAGAAAUAUAAUUUGGGGUAAAAUACUUCCAUUUAUUUCAGGGCCUGCUAUCUGUCAUACUAUACUAGAGUCAGGCUAGAAUUUGGUGUCUUAUUUCUAGAAUCUGCUUUGUCAGUCUUAAGAAUUGUUUUGGGCCGGGUGCGGUGGCUCACACCUAUAAUCCCAGCACUUUGGGAGGCCGUGGCGGGCGGAUCACGGGGCCAGGAGAUAGAGACCAUCCUGGCUAACAUGGUGAAACCCCGUCUCUACUAAAAAUACAAA
ensembl:lncRNA